AGGUAUAGUUGAAUAACAACAUUAAAUUGCAAACUUAAAAGUAUAUAUAAUAUUACCUUUU
rnacentral:tRNA from 1 species